rnacentral:lncRNA from 1 species
AAGGGUUGGGUGUCCCACUUUUCUAAAAGUCUGAGGUGAUUUUUCUUCAAGAGCGAAGAACGAAGAGAAGAAGAAGAAGACUGCAGAUCAACAAGUUGAUCCCGUAGUCUAAAUCAAAGAGUUGAUCUAAGUUCUAAGACUGAGAUUGUACUUGAAGAAGAAGAAUCUACUACAAGAAUAUCAGUUUGAGAUUGAUUUUGAUGGAUAUCCGUAGAGGUCGGACACGUGUGCGGCUCAAGCAUCUACAAAUCCGUGAUCAUCGAUAAUGGUGAAUAUCUACCUAGGCUAAGAUAUUAAGAUUCGAUCUCAUACUUAUUUUUAAAAUUUUAUAUUAUAUAUUUAUUUUUCUUUUGAGCAUGGGUAGGAUUAGAUUUGAUCUUAUGCAUGUGGGGUUAAAGGGUUUAACUCGUUUGUUUUUCGCUACGUUCAAAAAGACUUUUAAAAUAUACACAUACUGCCUACCCGAUCUUCUAACAGUGGUAUCAGAGCCACUGAUUUUUGAAAAUAUAUAUUAUCUAAUUUUUUUAUUAGAUCUAAAAUUUUAAAUAAUUUAAAAUUAAUCU